CGGGGGGGGCCGGUGGACGCGGUGCUGUCCGAUCCCCGUUCCCGCGCUCAACGUCGCCACCCCCCACUCGGAGGCAUGAGAACAUCAAAACUACAUGACAGCAUCACCUGGCACCAGUUAGCGCGGCUCUCCCAGAGAGCAUUGUGAUACUUCGGGUCCAGAUGGCCUCCGGGCAUGCAGAGGUUUGACAGGGAGGAAGGUCAGAGAGAGGGACAAAGAGGAAUGAAUGAGGAAGGAGUUCUGCUUGCAACUGAGAUAAGUGGUGAGAUAGGAGCUCCAGAGUCUCGUACACUUACAUAGCAUGUACUUGUGCAUGUGCACUUCCCACUCACAGUCAUACAGAGUAUUGCAUAAUAUUGGCAUCUGAAUGUAUAGAAUUAUAAACAGAAUAUAGAAUUGUUUUCAAAGACAUUUUCCCUCUGUUACAACUAUAGGACCUUUUGCCUUUCAACAUAUGUUAAGUGUGGAAUAUGAGAGCAGCCAAGCAGUCUGUGACAACUUUGUUUUGCAAAGUACUCAAAUUGGACCAGAAUGUGAAGCUUUAAGAACAUGGGAAAACAUUUCACGUAAUGCAGAACAGUAAUGUUAUAACAGAUCUUAUAUUUCAGAACCUCUCGGUACUCGUUUCUGUGUUUAUUUAAAGAAACUACUGUUAACACAUCAGAACUCAAGGAUAUUAAAUAUAUUUUAUUUUCUGCAUGAGAUCAGAAAUAAAUAAAGCAUAUCAUUUGACAUAAAAUCCCAGCUCACCCCCAAAGUACAUCUGUGCAAAAGCACAAUCCUAUCCAUAAAGCACAACAACAAAAAUCUAUAAAAUAGACAUUGCAGUAAAUGAGUUGACUGUUGAGGAGACAGUUUCACAGUAAGUAAAAUUUCAGUUACUGCAACGAGCAGUUUGACUGCCUAAUUUUUCCCUCUUUAUGUGAGAACAUAGUUUGAAAUUUAUCAGAAGGUUUUAGUGUGCAUUUUUUUCCCCCAGCAUUUUGGUACUCUUUUAGUAUGACAGACUUGUGCAAGUUCUUUUAUUUUGACCUCAGUUUUGAAGCUCUUUAUACUUAGAUUUGCACUGAAAUGGGCUUAUUAUAAUCACGUUAGGUUCCAGUCUUGCAAAGAUUUGCAUACAUGCUUAAUGUCAACUGUCUGAAUAGUCCUAUUAAGUUCAGUAGGGUGACUCUUGCACAACAUGAAGUAUGCACAGACAUCUUGGAAGAUUGAGGGCCAUAUGUUAGAGCAUAAAAACAAGUUAUCCAUCAUUUAAUUUUAAAAUAGAGCUGUGGAACUAAUAUGUUAUUUGAAAAAACAUUCUGGACUUAUCUGAAAUCCCAGAGGCACAGCUUAAUUCAAUUUCUUGGCUCUCACAGUUUUUAAACAGUACAAGUUCAAAACCAGAGGUGUCACUUCAAAUGAAAACAGCAGCCAAGACAGUUUAAACAGAGCUAGGCACAUUCAGUCAUAAUUUUCUUUAUGCAAGUAUUUAAACAUAUUUUAAGAGGGAGAAAAUUAUCAUUUGUAAUUGAGAACUGAAAAGUGACCUUUUCUUUAUUUGUUGAUUCAUUGAGCCUCAGAAUGAGUACUUUUAUAUCUGUUUUGGUUGUUGUGUGGCUGUUUUCUUCAGAACUGUCAUAAUUAUUGUCAUUGCUAAAAAGGACCUGUGCACACUAAAGGUUAAAAGCCUGAUACCGCAGAAUGAUUAGCCUCGGCUGCAGUGCAAUUCAGCUGGAUUCGCAAGUGCACUUCUUGAGAUCCUAGUUUUGUGGGGAGUAUUUAUAGUCCUGUUUAGUCGCACUGACUUCAGAGAGAUGACACAAGCACCCAGCACUGUCACCUCAGUAGUAAUUAAUGGUAUUCCUUUUUUUAUCUUAAUGGGCAAAUCAGUUUUAAAACCUUUUUUCUGCAUUGUUCUGAAGAAAGAACUAAAAUUACGGUUGAUAGUAGGAUAAUUCUAAUUUUCUAGCCAAACUUGGCUAAAAGAAGUUAGUUCUCAUUCAACUGAAAAUUAUUAGAGGUUAAAGAUAAAUGCUAACCUUUCAAUAUUAUUUAAUAGAGCACAACCAAACAAAAGAGAAAGAAGUUAUCAAUCAGGCAAAGUGCUGUUUGAAUCAAUGGCAAAGCAGCAUUGGCUGAACAUCAUAUGAAAGGCUGUAUAAACUCAUGUAGUCAGAGGAUAACUUAGCAUGAGAGAAAUUAGACAAGACAUCCUGUAUUCCACAAUUGCUUGGAAACACUGACAUUUUUACAGCAGAGUGAUACUGAUGACAUUGAACACAGCUGCAAUUAGUGAAGGAAAUGUUCAUCCUUUGUGGGGUGAAAAUGAAUUGGUACUGGCAAUUUUCUGGUCU
rnacentral:lncRNA from 1 species